AGUGAACGCUGGCGGUAGGCCUAACACAUGCAAGUCGAACGGCAGCACAGGAGAGCUUGCUCUCUGGGUGGCGAGUGGCGGACGGGUGAGGAAUACAUCGGAAUCUACUUUUUCGUGGGGGAUAACGUAGGGAAACUUACGCUAAUACCGCAUACGACCUACGGGUGAAAGCAGGGGACCUUCGGGCCUUGCGCGAUUGAAUGAGCCGAUGUCGGAUUAGCUAGUUGGCGGGGUAAAGGCCCACCAAGGCGAGGACCCGUAGCUGGUCUGGGAGGAUGAUCAGCCACCCUGGGACUGAGACACUGUCCAGACUCCUACGGGAGGCAGCAGUGGGGAAUAUUGGACAAUGGGCGCAAGCCUGAUCCAGCCAUACCGCGUGGGUGUAGAAGGCCUUCGUGUUGUAAAGCCCUUUUGUUGGGAAAGAAAUCCAGCUGGCUAAUACCCGGUUGGGAUGACGGUACCCAAAGAAUAAGCACCGGCUAACUUCGUGCCAGCCGCCGCAGUAA
rnacentral:rRNA from 1 species